CCUGAACUAGGGGUCUGGAGAC
rnacentral:miRNA from 1 species